AUACGGAGGGUGCAAGCGUUACUCGGAAUCACUGGGCGUAAAGCGCGCGCAGGCGGUCUUUUAAGUUGGAUGUGAAAGCCUACGGCUCAACCGUAGAACUGCAUCCAAAACUAUUAGACUAGAGUGUGGGAGAGGAAGAUGGAAUUAGUUGUGUAGGGGUAAAAUCCGUAGAGAUAACUAGGAAUACCAAAAGCGAAGGCAAUCUUCUGGAACACUACUGACGCUGAGGCGCGAAAGCGUGGGGAGCUAACAGGAUUAGAAACCCUAGUAGUCC
rnacentral:rRNA from 1 species